UACGGAGGGGGCUAGCGUUGUUCGGAAUUACUGGGCGUAAAGCGCGCGCAGGCGGUCCUUCAAGUCAGAGGUGAAAGCCCAGAGCUCAACUCUGGAACGGCCUUUGAGACUAGAGGACUUGGGUACGGGAGAGGUGAGUGGAAUUCCGAGUGUAGAGGUGAAAUUCGUAGAUAUUCGGAAGAACACCAGUGGCGAAGGCGGCUCACUGGCCCGUUACCGACGCUCAGGCGCGACAGCGAUGGGGAUCGAA
rnacentral:rRNA from 1 species